CCCGUCGAUGCGCCUCUCGUGUGCUCAGUGUGCCCCCUGUGUCUCGCCCGCGCCUCCCACCAACCCACAU
rnacentral:snRNA from 1 species